UACGUAGGUGGCAAGCGUUGUCCGGAUUUACUGGGCGUAAAGAGCGCGCAGGCGGUCGUUCAAGUCGCGUGUGAAAGCCCCUGGCUCAACUGGGGAGGGUCACGCGAUACUGAUCGACUCGAAGGCAGGAGAGGGUAGUGGAAUUCCCGGUGUAGUGGUGAAAUGCGUAGAUAUCGGGAGGAACACCAGUGGCGAAGGCGACUACCUGGCCUGUUCUUGACGCUGAGGCGCGAAAGCUAGGGGAGCAAACGGG
rnacentral:rRNA from 1 species